rnacentral:misc_RNA from 1 species
AGAGCUUUAUGCUGAGAUGACUCAGCUUCUUACAUUCGAUAACUUCAGAGAACAUCCUUCACUUGCUUUAUAUGGAGACACAUUAACUGCUAGGAACCGCAUAAUGAAGAUACUUAGGGUUGUCAUUGAAACAAACCCCCAGUUAAAUGGAAAACUCCACUUUCCAGAAUUAACCAAGUCAAGAUUGCGCCGUCUAAUUAAUCAAAGCUUGAACUGGCAGCAUGCUCAUUGUGCAAAUCCUCAGCAAGAACCGGAGAUCAAAACACUCUUCAUUGAUCACAAGUGUUCCAUACCUGAAGAUCAAUCGAUUAUGCAAAGGCCAGGGCCUACCCAAACCAUAUCGGCUGCAACCCCAGAUCAUUUG